UCCUUGGCAGUCCAGUGGUUAGGAUCUGGCACUUUCACUGCAAAGGCUCAGGUUCGAUUCCUGGUCAGGGAA